GGGGUGUGCUCAGAGCAGGGGGCCUGGAGAAUGGCUUCUCUGUUUACAACACACCCGAGAAGAAUCUGGGACCAUUGUAAUGAGGGGCGCAGCACUGUGUUCUCUCUGGGAGCAGAUCCCCUACAUGA